GGUUCGAUUAUGGCUCAGAUUGAACGCUGGCGGGAUGCUACACAUACAGUCGAACGGCACGGACUUCGGUCUGGUGGCGAAGGUGGCGAACGAGGUGAGUAAUGUAUCGGAACGACCCAGUAGCGGGGAUAACUACGCGAAAGCGUAGCUAAUACCGCAUACGCCCUUCGGGGAAAGCAGAGACCUUGGGCCUCACACUAUUGAAACGGCCGAUAUCGGAUUAGCUAGUUGGUGGGGUAACGGCUCACCAGGCGACGAUCCGUAGCUGGUUUGAAGGACGACCAGCUACGGAUCGUCGCCUUGGUGAGCCGUUACCAACUGUAUCCGAUAUCGGCCACUGCUAGUGCAGGUCUUGCGAUCCCUAACCCCCGUAGGAGCGUAUGCGGUAUUAACGCUUUCGCGUGGGUUAUCUGCCCGCUGCAGGCGUUCCCUACUCACCCGCCAGGCAGAAGUCCAGCCGUUCGACACUUUGCAUAGUGUAAACAUCCAUAUGAC
rnacentral:misc_RNA from 1 species